rnacentral:tRNA from 1 species
GGAGGUGUCGCAUAGCGGUCAAUUGCACUGGUCUUGAAAACCAGAGCCUUACGGCUUCGUGAGUUCGAAUCUCACCACCUCCG